UUGAAUCUUAUCUUUUCUGUUCGAGGUUGGUGUUAUUUGGGCUGUUGAUGCCAUAGUUGAAUCUAUCUUAUUUAUGCCACCACUAGGGACUUAGUUUCCUAGUUUUGGAGGUUGAAUGAGGAUGAUGAAACUGUAAUUAAUUGGCCUAGAAAACAGUCAAUGAUGCAAAAUUGAUUGAAAUAUGCUGAGACUUUAGUUCCAAACAACAAUAAGGCUGAUUUGUGAUUUGCAAUUUGAUACUGCACUUGAAUCUUAUCUUUUCUGUUCGAGGUUGGUGUUAUUUGGGUUGGUGAUGUCAUGGUUGAAUCUAUCUUAUUUAUGCCACCACUAGGGAGUAAGUUUCCUAGUUUUGGAGGUUGAAAUAGGAUGAUGACACAGUAAUUAAUUGGCCUAUAAAACAGUCAAUGAUGCACAAAUGAUUGAAAUAUGCUGAGACUUUAGUGAUUGGUAUCAACAAUAAGGUUGAUUUACAUCCCAAACAACACAGAAACUUACCUAACCUUGUUUGGCUCUGUAAACCCUUAGACAAAAUAGAAUUAAAGAGAAGUUAGUCCCUCAGUUGAAUGUGUUGGAUUCCUUGCAGUAUAUGAUCAAUGUUGUAGCUUGUAACUUCUUCACUUCCCUGCAAACUUAGGUAAUCAAUGCACUCAUUUACAAGCUGCUCAUCCACUUCAAGGCAUUCUGGUAGUAAUCCUUGCCUAAUUAGUCCAUCUUUAUUCAUGUGUGGAAUCUUGUAGUUGUUGUUGCCCUUCACUUUCAUUAUUUCCUGGUAGCAGCUCUGCAGAGUUAGGAACACAUUGUUUAUCUUAGCUGCUGGGUACUCUUCAAACGCAUCUUGAACAUUCUUUAGCAAGCUCUCUACACCAUGAGCCAUCUUCUGAUCUUUAAGAGUUUGUAUAGCCCUAAAGAACCCUAGAUCAUUCACAUU
rnacentral:lncRNA from 1 species